rnacentral:misc_RNA from 1 species
AGUAAUGACAUCAGAACAUUUUGCCUCAUUUCUGGUGUUCCUAAUUCUCAAUGUUGUGGGGCUUGUCUAUUACAUCAAAGGGAUGCUCACACCAAAAAUGUUCAAAGUAGCUGUGACUCUUGUUGUAUCUGCAGGCUUGAUUGUUUGCUGCGCUGUGGUAGCUGUGCUAGUUGCGCUUGUUGCCUCUAGCCCAACAAAGGGAUGGAGUGGA